UACGGAGGGGGCAAGCGUUGUUCGGAAUUACUGGGCGUAAAGGGCUCGUAGGCGGCCAACUAAGUCGGAUGUGAAAUCCCCAGGCUUAACCUGGGAACUGCAUCCGAUACUGGAUGGCUUGAAUUCGGGAGGAGGAUGCAGAAUUCCAGGUGUAGCGGUGAAAUGCGUAGAUAUCUGGAGGAAUACCGGUGGCGAAGGCGGUUAGCUGGGGCAGUUGCUGACACUGAGGCGCGACAGCGUGGGGAGCAAACAGG
rnacentral:rRNA from 1 species